GCCGAACCCAUCUGCGCCGGUCAGCUAGCAGCCACAGAGAGUGGUAUGUGAGCAGAGCACGUCACGUUUCCUAAUCCUCGCUACUAGUACGCGCGUGGCCCGGUCCGGCCGGCGGCCCCGACGUCGCGCCGCCAGAGUCUUUCUCUGACUGUUUGGCGCGUGAGCGAGCGAGCAGGGAAGUCUUUCUCUGCUGUCCCCGGCGGCGUGGGGUGCCUGGUCUUUGGUUGUGCUAGCUAACUCGUUAGAGCCUAGAUGCCGCCGGCCGCCGCGCCGUGGUCGUGGGCGUGCUGCGGCCGCAGGAGGAAGAGCGCCGGGGGCGGCGCGGGGGACGGCGACGGCGCCGGCGCGUCGGGGCGGGACGGUGACCAGUGGACGCUCUUCAUCGACCUGCCCGUGCUGGAGGCCGCCACCGCCGGCUUCUCCGACGGCAACCUCCUCGGCCGCGGCGGCUUCGGCCCCGUCUACAAGGGCGUGAUGGAGGGCGGGCAGGAGAUCGCGGUGAAGCGGCUGUCGCUGGAGUCGCGGCAGGGGGUGCGGGAGUUCCUCAACGAGGUGCGGCUGCUGCUCAAGGUGCAGCACCGCAACCUGGUCUCCCUCCUCGGCUGCUGCGCCGCCGCCGGCCAAAAGAUGCUCGUCUACCCAUACUUCCCCAACGGCAGCCUCGACCACAUCCUCUUCGGUCAGUCACCCCCGAUCCCCAUUUAUCCAGCCUCUGCUUAUACAUCUUCAAACUUCAGAAUUCGGUUUGUUUUUUACUCAAAUCGCGCGCCAAAACUUGGGUGGGUUUCAUGCUAUUUCGGCUGAAAACUUCAGCUCUCUGUGUCCAAUCUGAAAAUCAAAAUCACGGAACGAUUUCAGUAAAUUCAGUGGUGCCUGGAAUUUCAGUCAAAAAAUGACAAUUGAAUUUUCGUGUCAACAGCAGUUUGGUCAGACAGAGCAUUCAGUCUGUUACAAGUCUUGAGUUGAUGUCAGGUAGUACUAGUAAUAAAGUUGGCCUUUGCGUGCUCAUAUAGCAGCUGGUUCCAAGUAUUAUCAUUGACCUUGACUGAAUCAGAAGCAGAGUCCUGAUUUCUUAACCCGGAAGGUUCAAAUGUCACAUCCACACCAGACCAGUUCUUGAUUAGGAUUUAUUCUUGUCAGCAAGCAAACCAGGUGCAGUUGUGUAUAUACAUAAAGAUGCCAAAUUACAGCAAAGAAUUGGUGCGAUUUGAUUUAAAACGGAGUAUGCCUCUUGAGUCUACUGCAUGAAAGGAUCUCAAACACUAAGCUAUCUGAGUUUAUACAAGUGAAACAUGAGAAAAACAUAGAAUUGGCAAAAUUAUUUUGCAGUGUUUGUCAGGUAUCUCAAAAGAAUGAGCUUGUCUGAGUUCACUCUGCUCUGCAAAAUCAUAAAUAAAAAUUACAGCUGCAUAACAAUCAAUUCCUGCAAAGUAGAUCAGUAUACAGCACACGAAAGAACUUUUGGAGUUCGGUAUGAGCACAAUUUUAAGCUUUAACAUAAGCAGUCUGAAUUUUUAUAUAAGCAGCAUGUGCCAGCAAAUUACAGUUUCCUAACAAUCGAUUCCUGCAAACUACUAGAUCAGUAUACAGAGCAUAGAAGAGCUGCUCUGUUAUCUGAACCUGCACUGCAUCGCAUACUUUCAGACAGGGAGAAGAGGGUGCAGCUAGACUGGCCAAAACGGUACCAAAUUAUCCUCGGACUAGCGAGGGGCCUCCUGUACCUCCACGAAGAGUCUCCGGUGAAGAUCAUCCACAGGGACAUCAAGGCGAGCAACGUGCUCCUCGACGACAAGCUGAACCCCAAGAUCUCGGAUUUCGGCAUGGCGAGGCUCUUCCUCGAAGACGCGACGCACGUAAACACGUUCAGGAUCUCUGGCACAUAUGGUUAUAUGGCCCCGGAGUACGCGAUGAACGGGUACCUGUCGACCAAGACCGACGUUUUCAGCUUCGGGAUGCUCGUGCUGGAGAUCGUCAGCGGGAGGAAGAACAUCGACCGGCAUCUCGGCGACGAGAAAGUCGACCUGUUGAACUACACAUGGAAGCUGUCAGAGGAAGGCCGGCCACUGGACAUCGUGGACCCGGGCCUGUCCGGCUGGGACGCCGGCGAGGUGGCCAUGUGCGUCCAGCUCGGGCUGCUGUGCUGCCAGGCCGUCGUGUCGGACCGGCCGGACAUGUACAGCGUGCACCUCAUGCUGUCCAGCGACUCCUUCACGCUGCCCAAGCCCGGGAAGCCGGCGGUGCACGGCCGGGUCGGCCGGUGGAAGAGCACCACCGGCUCGGCCUCCAGCUCCGCCUCCGGCGCGAACACGAACACCACGUUCGCCACCGACACGACCAAGGCCUCGACGCUGGGAAACAUCGCUGAAGAUGAAUCCAGGAACUCCAUUUCCAUAUCCUUCACCACUGAAGGCCGGUAAAAAAUGGUACUCUAGUAAGAAAUCAGACGGUGUAGUGAUGGCGCGACCGUGCGAGUGGAUAAUGCACUCUAGAUCUAGUACAGGAGGCAGUGAUGGUUCCAGAAGCAUCCGGUCCAGUUUUCUUUUACCGUUUUUACUAGCUUUUCCAUUUUCUCCUGUUUUAAAUAUGUUCAGAAAUUUCAGGGUUUAUUUGGAAAUCAGAAAAUGUUAGGAAAUUUCAAAUCUUAUUUGGAAUAUUUUUUAGAAUGAUUCUUUUUGCAAAAUGGAGAACUUUUGAAAGUUUCAACAUUGGUUCGGGAUUUUUGAAAUUUGCUUGGUAAUUUCAAAUUUGGUUCAGAAUUUGUAAAAAAUUAUUAGAGAUUUCAAAAACAAAACAGAAAUAAAAAGUAUUUGGAACUUUAAUACUGUUAAAAAUUAAUUUUGACGGGAUUUUUAGAAAUCUAUUUGAAAAAAACACACUACAGUUAUUUUUUGAGCAAAAACACACUAUAUUACAUCUCACUACAGUGCCACAUGCCACUAUAGUUUUUUAAUGGGCUAGCCUAGUUAGGGGUGCCCUGUGCAAAAUGCUUCCUAUUUGACGUGUUAUAUCUUUGUAUUCCGAUGAUCAUUAAUUAAUAAACCUAGUGGAAUAUGAUCCAAAAAAUUGAUGCACUAUACGUCAAAUAAGCAAUCCCGCAAGUCCUGGCAUGACAAAGCACCACAUACACCUAUUAGUGGGCCAUUUUCCGAUGGACCUCGAUUGGGUGGACAUCGUUGUGCCCUGCCCAUGGUUGAGGUAAUUUCUAGCGUUUAACACAUCUUAUAUGAGCUACAAGGCCCACUCCAAUUAGUCAAAACUAAUAGGCUAGCGACAUUCCAUAGUUUAGUACCGGAAUUCCGCAAUCAUUGCCCCCCAGUAGUGUGUGAUUCCUAUUCGUCACCAACAAGGAGAAAUUACAACAAAUCGCAGAAAAUCUAGCGACUUUACCUGCGCCACUACAACUGACCAUUUUUUAUUUCUUUUGUCACGUGUGUGGUAUUAUACUAGCUUUUCUGGUGUUUUUCCCUGGAUUUUCAUUUUUUUUUUCCACCUUCUUUCUUUGUAUUUUCAUUUCUUGGGUUUUAUUUUCCUUUAAACAAUGUUCAUGAUUUUCUAACAAAGUUCUCAAAAACUAAUAAAAGUUCACAAAUUUUAAAAAUAGCUACUUACGAAAUUUUAAGAAAAACAAUUCUCAAAUA
rnacentral:rRNA from 1 species